UGGGGCAGCCUAGCUGGCCGUCUCGCAGGUCCCUCUCACCCCCUGCGCCGCCGUCGCACCGUGCCCUCCCCCAUUGCGGGCUCUGUCAUUCUCAAACCCAGGUCGACCCACUCUUCCCGCCCACUGGCCCGCCGCAGCUCCCUCCAUUGGCUCGCGGCACCUGUCCGUUUCCUGGGAGAGUUCAGCACCUCCCGGCAGGAAGAGGCUCCGGCCUCAUUGGGUGCGUGAGAAGGGAAGGGUGGAUCCUAAAAGAUCCCUUUUACAGUUGGAUUCUCCCUCUUGGAUCUGGCUCUGCCUUAGUCCGACCUAGAGGGAUCAGCUUCGCCCACGCCCACUCUCACCCGGAACCUUUCAUCUCUUAUUGAAGCCUUUUAGGCCCAUUGGGAUGUUCAUUAGAACUCUGAAAACUACAGUUCUCCCCUUUAUGAGGACUGCACCACAGCUCGCCCUCUCCUGGGUUCCGGUAAGAAGAGAUUCCAAUACCACUCUUUUUUCAGAAUUCAGAAAGGCAAGAGACCACCUUACUGAGCUUCAAACUGGGGCUGGGAACGCUGCCAUGAAUUGGGCUUGGUCUGUCUGAAGGGAGCCACCUUUUCGACAAUCCUUAGACUUCUUUUGCCUGUUGGAAUUACACCUUGGAUCGUGGCGAAGUCUAUAGAGGUCAGAUUAAGAAGAACCAAAGCAGAAUAAACGUAGAACCCGAUGCUGAGUUCACGAGUGAGGACGACCUCUUCCUAUAUGCUUUGCUAUACCCUGCGUUUUGAACAUUAAGGACGAGAUAGGAGGCCCAUAAUGUUUCUUCUUGCUUUAAUCCUGUCGUGGCAACGUUGACUUCCAGUAAGAAAGAAACAAGGUCUCACUGUGUCACCCAGGCUGGAGAGCAGUGGCACGAUCAUAGCUCACUGAUCACAUGGCAGCCUCAAACUCCUGGACUCAGUGGGUCCUCCUGCCUCAGCAUCCUGAGUAGCUGGGACUACAGCCUGGUUGCAGAGUGAGCCCAUGGGACAGCCCUCUGAAAUUAUACUGCUUACAACCAUGCUGAGUCUGCAAGGACUUCGUCCAAGCCUUUCCGUCCAGGACCUCAAACAGAUCCAAUCACAAGAAGAGAGAUUUCAGGAAAGAGAAAAUUAUUCCUAUCAUCGGGGUUUUUGAAGAACAUGAAAUGACUGGGAAAAUAAUCAUGUUAAGUGGAAAAAAAAAAGAAAUCUAUCUGUUGUAAUUUUCAAAUAAUUUUUAAAUAAAUUUGAAAAAUUAAGAGAACUAUAUAUAUAAUACAUUCCUAAUCUUGUGAAAAAUAUAUAUGCAUUAAUAUUAUUGAAAGAAAUAUAUCAAAAGGUGAACAGCAAUUAUCACCAAUCUAGAUUAUGAGAUUAGGAGUGAUUUUUUUUCUUUGUCCUAUACUAUUUAAUAUUUUCUACCAUUAAAAUAUUCUGAUUUUCUAAUUAGAAUAGUACGUUAGACAAAGAAGGACAAAUAUCACAUGAACUCUCACUCUCUUAUGGAACAGAUCUUGUGGAAUCUAAAAAAGUUGAACUCAUAGAAAAAGAGGAAAAUGAUGGUUACCAGUUAGAAAAAAGGAAUAAGUUCAAGAGAUCUAUUGUACACCAUGGUCAAUAUAGUUAACAAUAUAUUUUAUACUUUAAAAUUGCUAAGGUAGUAGAUUUUAAGUGUUCUCACCACACAAAAAAAUAAGUAUGUGAAAAGCAUAUGGUAAUUAGCUUGAUUUAACCACGCCACAGUGCAUACAUAUGUCAAAACAUCAUGUUGUAUACUAUAAAUAUAUACACUUUUUGUCAAUUUUAAACAGGUUAUAAAAAAACAUGUUAUUGUUGAUAAUUAUGAAAAAUUUUAAUGAUGUGGAAAUGUGUACAGUAUAAUGAUAAAUGAAAGAGUAGUAAAAAUCCUUAUAAAAUAUAA
rnacentral:lncRNA from 1 species